AGUGAACGCUGGCGGUAGGCCUAACACAUGCAAGUCGAACGGCAGCACAGUAAGAGCUUGCUCUUACGGGUGGCGAGUGGCGGACGGGUGAGGAAUACAUCGGAAGCUACUUUUUCGUGGGGGAUAACGUAGGGAAACUUACGCUAAUACCGCAUACGACCUACGGGUGAAAUCAGGGGAUCUUCGGACCUUGCGCGAUUGAAUGAGCCGAUGUCGGAUUAGCUAGUUGGCGGGGGAAAGGCCCACCAAGGCGACGAUCCGUAGCUGGUCUGAGAGGAUGAUCAGCCACACUGGAACUGAGACACGGUCCAGACUCCUACGGGAGGCAGCGGUGGGGAAUAUUGGACAAUGGGCGCAAGCCUGCUCCAGCCAUACCGCGUGGGUGAAGAAGGCCUUCGGGUUGUAAAGCCCUUUUGUUGGGAAAGAAAAGCAGCAGGUUAAUACCCCGCUGUUCUGACGGUACCCAAAGAAUAAGCACCGGCUAACUUCGUG
rnacentral:rRNA from 1 species